GUGGGGCUGGGGCUCAGUGGUAGAGCACCUGCCUUGUACGCGUGAGGCACUGGGUUCAAUCCUCAGCACCACA
rnacentral:tRNA from 1 species